UGCAGCUGUAGCUUGGUCCCUCCCUCUUCCCUCACUCUGGCACAGUCUAACAUGUGCUCUGCCAGAGAAUGUGAAAAUGUGCAGCUGCUGAAAUCAAACUGCUGUAUUGCUGCUUGCUAUGUGUGCAGAGGUCGAGAGAGAGAGAGAGAGUGCGA